UUUGCCUUCUACGUUUCAACUUUCUACAAGAAAGGUGCGCAUGUGAACGUGAUACGUUGCAAUAUCAUUUCUACAAGACUGAAG